rnacentral:tRNA from 1 species
GGGCGGUUAGCUCAGCUGGCAGAGCGCUACGUUUACACCGUAGAGGUCGCAGGUUCGAGCCCUGCAUCGCCCACCA